rnacentral:rRNA from 1 species
AUUGAACGCUGGCGGCAGGCCUAACACAUGCAAGUCGAGCGAGUGGCGGACGGGUGAGUAAUGUCUGGGGAACUGCCCGAUGGAGGGGGAUAACUACUGGAAACGGUGGCUAAUACCGCAUACCAUCGGAUGUGCCCAGAUGGGAUUAGCUAGUAGGUGGGGUAACGGCUCACCUAGGCGACGAUCCCUAGCUGGUCUGAGAGGAUGACCAGCCACACGGGAACUGAGACACGGCCCAGACUCCUACGGGAGGCAGCAGUGGGGAAUAUUGCACAAUGGGCGCAAGCCUGAUGCAGCCAUGCCGCGUGUAUGAAGAAGGCCUUCGGGUUGUAAAGUACUUUCAGCGAGGAGGCGUUACCCGCAGAAGAAGCACCGACUAACUCCGUGCCAGCAGCCGCGGUAAUAC